rnacentral:lncRNA from 1 species
CCCCAGGAUCUGGGGCUGUGUUUUCCCUGGAUGAUUCCUCCCCUCUCUCCUGGCAGGGGGAAGAAGGUCAGAUUGGCCCUGCAGGGCUCAACAGCAGCGAGGGACCCAAGGGAUGCCAAGGACCUGAUGGCCCCAAGGGAAGCCCAGGACCUCGGGGAGCCCGGGGCCGUGUGGGGCAGCGUGGGCUGGUUGGAGUGCCUGGACUGCCUGGCUCGCGGGGCGCGCCGGGAGCGGAGGGAGCAGAAGGAAAGCCUGGUACACAGGGCCACCCAGGGAUCGUGGGCAGCCCAGGCAGGAGGGGACCCCUGGGAUUUGCUGGUUUGCCAGGGAGCCGUGGGCACGCUGGAACUCCUGGAUCCAUAG